rnacentral:rRNA from 1 species
AUUGAACGCUGGCGGCAUGCCUUACACAUGCAAGUCGAACGGCAGCACGGACUUCGGUCUGGUGGCGAGUGGCGAACGGGUGAGUAAUGCAUCGGAACGUACCUUUCAGUGGGGGAUAACUAUCCGAAAGGAUAGCUAAUACCGCAUAUUCUGUGAGCAGGAAAGCAGGGGAUCGCAAGACCUUGCGCUGAUUGAGCGGCCGAUGUCAGAUUAGCUAGUUGGUGAGGUAAAGGCUCACCAAGGCGACGAUCUGUAGCGGGUCUGAGAGGAUGAUCCGCCACACUGGAACUGAGACACGGUCCAGACUCCUACGGGAGGCAGCAGUGGGGAAUUUUGGACAAUGGGGGCAACCCUGAUCCAGCCAUGCCGCGUGAGUGAAGAAGGCCUUCGGGUUGUAAAGCUCUUUCAGCCGGGAAAAAAUCGCAUGGGUUAAUACCCUGUGUGGAUGAUGGUACCGGAAUAAGAAGCACCGGCUAACUACGUGCCAGCAGCCGCGGUAAUACGUAGGGUGCGAGCGUUAAUCGGAAUUACUGGGCGUAAAGCGUGCGCAGGCGGUUUUGUAAGACAGGCGUGAAAUCCCCGGGCUCAACCUGGGAACUGCGCUUGUGACUGCAAGGCUAGAGUACGGCAGAGGGGGGUGGAAUUCCACGUGUAGCAGUGAAAUGCGUAGAGAUGUGGAGGAACACCAAUGGCGAAGGCAGCCCCCUGGGUCGAUACUGACGCUCAUGCACGAAAGCGUGGGUAGC